CAACAGUUUGCAAAAGAUCAUGUAUAAUGCCUUGAAUGUACACAAAAGUUUCCAAAAAUGAGAGAUUGAGAGAUUUUCAUUAUGUAAUCUGUGUUUUGAUUACAGUUCCUUGUGGCACUGGAAGUUACCUGUAUAAGGACUACUGUGUGAUGUGUCCAGUGGGAACGUAUCAGGACAGAGAAGGGCAGACAGAAUGUAACGUAUGUCCCUGAUGGUACAGGGACACUAGGUGUAGGAUCUGACCAUGUCAAUGAUUGUGCAGUUGAAAAAUCACAAUGGGACAAGACAAAAGAAGUUAAAGUGACGGGGAUAGCGAUAGGCUGUGCUGUUGCUGUAGCUGUGAUAGUGAUUGCCGCUUACGUCUACAGGAGAUAUAGAGCAAAACAGAAGAAACUCAUCGAGCCCACUGAUAUAAACAGGGUUUCCAGUCAGCAGGUGAAACAAAGUGGAGUUCUUGGUGCGGCCAGGAAAAUAUUUCGGCAAGAGAUAGUCUCUGUUGAUACAUUAGAUGACACUAACAAUGCUUUCGCAUUGAAACGAUUAGGUACAUUCGCAUUGGAUGAUGGAACGAUUGUUCACAGCAAGCCUUGGAAAUACUGAAACUGGCUCUACAAGAAGCACAUAGAAACAUAGAUUCAACUUCAGCUUUCUCUGUCUCAACUAUGCUGUUUCAAAACAAAGAAAUUUACUAGAAGUUUGAAACCGAGGUCAAGUAUGAAGAAACAGUUUCUGACAUUAAACUACAGACACAUAUACUUUCAAUAGUUUCAGUAGAAUAGCUUAGUUUUGCUAAAACUCCAUUAUCGUUCAGAGACAUGUCUAAUCGAGACAUUUUCAUAUAGAGUAUGUAUAAAAAAAAUGUAGUAAAUCUUCAUUUAUUAUUUCAAGUAAACUCUGCUUCCUAGUACAUAUACCAA
rnacentral:lncRNA from 1 species